AAAUUAAUAUUUUGUAUACUUUUUACGAGUAGCCAAAUUGAAGCAAUUCAACAGUGGCAGAUCGGCAGUUGCAAGUACCGCAUUUGUUUCGUAACCUCUGUGUGUAACCCGGACUUUAUUCACGCUAACAGUUAGUAAGGGUAUCGAGGGAAAGAAAGUAUUGCCAAAACGAAAACAUUUAUCAGCGUGCGCCAACAUCCCUAGUAAGUCCAACCGACUCAGUAAAAGGAGAAUUUUGUUUUUAAUUACCGCACAUUCUCAACUUACACCUACCGUUUGGAAAUCACUGCUGCAUACGGUUUCGGAAGUUUUACUAGCAUUGACAUUCACUUGACAAUCGCGUCACGUUUUAAGACUGCAAUUGUGACCGAUAAAUGGGAGUUUUCACUGUUUACGGGUGCAAUUUUGAAUUGUAUGCAAAUAAAUAAAAUACACAGAAUUAUCACUGCACGCUACGAAUAGUUUAACGUAUCUUCGAUUACUUCGAACUGUUGACAUCUGCGGCAUAACUUAAGAAGUGUUUGAAGAGGACUGAUAGAUUUCUCGCUGAUCGAUCAAAAAUGAUGCAAUUUCAUUCGUAUGCGUUACAAAGUACUAUGCAUACCUGUGUACAUACAUACAUACUUCGUAAAUAAUUAACUAAAACCGAAAGAGCAGCUGGUAAGAAAAGCUGGCGAGUUCUUCUAUUUGUGCAUAUCAACAACGAGAGUGAACUACCAAAGUUUGAUUGAAUCCAAUUCAUUUGUACAUUUCUAUAAUUGUGUGCGUAUACAUGUAUGCAUAUAUAGUGGGGUUUAUAUGCAGGAACUCAGGGAGAGAUUCGCGCAUUUGAUGAUUAAAAAACCACAACCAACCGCUGACUCAUCUAACUGAACACAAAAGCGCGCGACUAACACUACAAUUUACAUACAUAUUAUGCACAUACUAUUUACAGAGAAUCCAUAAGUAAAUAGAUAAAAGCGUGGUUACGUACAUAACAUACAAGUAUGUAUGUAUUUCUGUAAGUAUGUGAAUUUGCGGUAUGAGGCUGGUUUGUUGACAAGCAUUGCAAUUCAGUCCUGCAGAGCGAAUGUUGAGUAGCAGAACGGAAACGUCGGAGAACCUAUUAAGUAUAUAUGUACAUAUAUAUAUAUAUAAAUGAUCAGCAUGAAAAGCUGAUUCUAUUUAGCCAUGUCCGUCCGUCUGACUGUAUAUACGCGAACUAGUCAAUACGUUUGUGGCAUACGUCCUUUUUUUCCCAAAAAGUUGCUCUUUUGUCGGAAUCCUCGAUAUGGGAGCACUAUAGGAAAAAAAUGCCAAACAAACUGAUCGAUUAAAAUCAAAUUCUUGUAAAGAAAACUUUUUUAUUAGGCAAAAUAUCUUUACGAAAUUUGGCAUAAAUUAUAGUUCCAGGCGAUGCUAUGUACAAUCCCGAACAAAUCGUUCAAUAGGAUCACUACGUUUUCCUAAAUUGGUUCAGAGAGAGAGAGAGCAUAGUUACGUCGGCGAAUCAAUAUUCCUGAGGAUAUAAAUUGCACUAAGCAGUUAAGUACAUACAUACAUACAAGUACAUAUGUGUACCAGUAUGAAACUUUAAUUUUUGACCGAUAUUUAAAAAUUGCCAUCAACACAGUACGAGUCAGUUGGUUUGCGGUUUAUUCUAGCUGAUUUACCCUGCCGUCAAAUCGCUCACAAGUAAACAUGUGUACCGAAAUAAUUUGCACAGCUUGAUACGGAGCAGUCUUGCAUCCGAUUUAAUUGCAAUACAUUCUGCCUUUUACAAAUAUAUAUACAUAAGUACAUAAUUAUAUGAAUGCGUAUUAUUAUACAAGGAAUUAUGUUCGUUGAUAACUCGGAUCUCAUUUUGGGCCACGACUAUAGCACAUUUUCCAAUUUGGUAGAUUCUUUACGGUCGAAAUACAUGCGCAAUAAUUAAUAUGGUUAUUAUCAUUUUCUUAUUUCAUUAUGGGAAUAAAAAAUUGCAUGCGACAUUAAUUAUUAUUAUUAUUUUUUUUUACAUAAUGUACAUAUGUAUGUAUGUAUAUAGAGAAUUUUUCGUGAAAAGUAACAUAAAACUCAAUUGAGUCAUUCGUAGAGUAAUAGGUAGUGUCAAAAAUAAACAAAACAAGAAAAAAGGUGAAUUUCGGUUCCCCCGAAGCUAGAAUACCCUUCACAAAUAAAGAAGUUUCCAUACAAGAACUUGAUUUUGCUCAUACAUACUUAUAUUGCACGUUUGUACAAUACAAUAUGUAUGUAUAUAUAAUAUUUUAUGGAUUCCGACGGUUUCUUCUGGGUGUUACAAAUCGUGGUAAGCUAUAAUGGUGUGGUAAAUAUGAAUGUAAAGAAAUCUCCACUUUUUUCCAUAUAUGUACUUACAUAUGUAAAUAUUAAUAUAAAAGCAAUAUAUAAUAUAAUUGAAAGUUUUUCUAUGUAUGAAUUGCAUGUUCUUCAAAAUACAAAAAAAAAAUUAAUAAUAACAAAGCCAACAUAAUAUAAUAAUAAAUUCAUUAUGUAUUAAUGUUGUGCUUUACGCAACAAGUUCAAUGUUCUUAUGUAACGGGUGUAACGGAAGCUUAUCAAAAUUUCAUUUUCAUACAUCAACUCGUGUAGAGAAUUGUCAAAGAAUCAAAAAGACACAAUGAGCGAACAUUAUAAAUUAAGGAAAUUAUCAAGAAUAAGUGGAGGCGAAAACAGUUGCUGAAACUUGCCGUUAUCAAAGAACAUAAUAUUAAUAAAUUACGAGAUUGUAUUACAUAUACAUAUUUACAUAAGUAUAUUCCAAGCCAAAUACGAAUCAUUUGUGUUGAAAAAAACCAAGAAUUUAUUGGACAAACACUAUACAUACAAACGUACACGUAUAGCAAAGAAAAAACUGAAGGUUUAAUAAAAUGUCAAAAACUUUUUACAUACAUUUAUAAAACUACAUCAUGAACCAGCAACGAAUGGACGAAUGAAUUUGUUCUGCUCAACAAAACCAAAUAACGAACGUAUGAACUACGAGUACGAGAAGCAUUUAUCAACGAAAUGCCAGAACGAGGUGUGGAAUAUGAGCAAUUGCAUUGUAGACGCCUAGACGGCUAUUCGUGUAUAUGCACGAUGACGAGACAUACGAGUGAAUGUCAGUAACCCCACUCGACAAAUGCAUUGUGAGCGUGGAGACAGAAAAGGGAGAUACCACGAAGCUGAGGUCUACGCAGAGUGGAUGCGUGAAAAAAACACAGUACUUAAGGACCAGAAAUGCGUCAGCUUGUGAUAAGUGAUUACGUGCAACGUCAGUGAUGCAUUGACGUGCAAUGUGCACUGGUAAUGGUCGGACCGGAGUGAGAGUGUAAGGGAUAACGCAGGUAAAAGAAUAACAAGAUUUAGCUCAUUGGAUAAGAAUCAUGAAACUAAGCAGUUUCUGAUCUGCUUGAGAAAAAGUACGAGAGUGUGGCCACCGCCGCAAACCGAAAAGGCAAAAAGAAAUUUGCUUUGCUUAAAUAUUUUGCGUUAACUGAACAUAGCCGGUGUUAUCAAUUAAGCACACAUACAGAAAUGGAUGUGUAUCCAACGAUCAUUUUAUCCCCUGUCGGAAAGACAAGGCGUGCAUCUAACUCCGAAUAAGUACACUGUAGAUUACGCAAGAAACGCUCAGAAAUUGGAACUUGGAUUAGAAUGCGAGGAAGUUGACUUGCAUGCGCUGGAUGCAUACUACUUUAAAAAUCACAGGAUCAGAAAGGGUUGAAAUUACGACAAUAUCACAUCGGCUAAAAUUUGCACUAACAAAUACAUAUAUAUGUAUGUAUGCGUGCAUGUACUUAUCCGUCAAAUGCAUUGUCCUAUGAAAACUUUCGAAGGGAGAAGGUUAAAACUGUGGUGUUGAUGGACUUUUUUUUUGUUUUAUCUUUCUUCUUCUUUUCGCGAAUUGUAAGAGAGCCUUUUCAAAUAAAAAACAGUACGAUGAGCGCUAGCUGAGAAUCCCCUCGAAUUGAGAAUAAAUGCUCAGAGACUGCAGUGGUGUUUUGCAAUUUUUUUGCAACAUAACUCGCACGGCCUACACCCCUCCCCCUUCUUUUAAUUCAGUAAAAUAUAAUAUAUUCAAGACUUUUAUUUGAGUGUAUUUCGCAUGAGUAUAAAGUGUGAGUAAAGGAAGAAAAUAAAUACUGUGAAUAUAAAGCUAAAACGCAGAUUGAAAUCUGUAAAUUUAUGUAGCGAAAAAAUAUUUACAUAUAUAUCUACAUGAAUAUGUAAAUUGUACAGAUAUAGGCAUAUCGUCGUAUACCAAUGCGUGUCGUAAAAAUAUUUCUUGUUGAUGAGCGCUUUUAACGAUUCAUAAUGUUGAAUUACCGGCAAGAGGUGGAUGCGUGGAAGGCAUGCCGCGGCCUAGCAACGAGAGUUCAAAUCGAGAGCAAUUUGGAUGAAUAAGAAAUCUGUACACUUUUUAGUACACAAAAUACACUUUGGUGUGAACCGACCACAACAGUUGCAGCUUCGGCACAACCAUUAUUGUCAUUUGUGUUAUUUUUUUGUACAAAUCUAAUUUUACUUAAGUUUUAAGUGUUGAAAACUAUAAACGUAAAUUCAUAUACUAAUAAAUACAUACAUAGUACAUAUGGUAUUUCAUAUAAAAUAAUACUAAAUCUAGGAGUGUUAUCCCAAUCUUCCAAUGAAAUGUAAAAGAUUUAAGAAGUGUAACAACUACACCCAGCGAAUGGCGAGAACACUAUAAACUAGAGCAGAGUGUUAUGAGGCCUUAACGAAGUGCAAAUUGAAAUGUUGUCAAUAAAUGCAAAAUAUAUCAUCAUGUGACAACUUUUUCACACAUCAAUUAAAUAAAGGGUUAAAAUUGUAUAUGAAAAUGUUUUUUUAUGAACAAUAACGUUAAGGGCGAUUCUCUCUUACGGUUUAAGAGUUAGGUCAAGGAUUAAGAGAAAUGGAAUCGCUGGGAGAAGAUCUGGACUGAUUGCAAUUAACUUUUGGCAUAAUUCAAAUAUAUUCGGAAACAUUUUUUCAUUUUAGGAAGACAACUUACACAUUCACCGAUAUAUGCGGUAUAAAGUCAACCGGAAGUUCGAAAAUAUUUUACCCAUUUACUAAGAAGAAAAGUGCGUGUGUAAAUUUCAGAACGAUAGCUUAAAAACUAAGAGACGAGUUCGCCAAAAUACACGCAUGACUAAAUCGCCUCAGUUCGUUACACUGAUCAUUUCAAUAUAUAUAUAUAUAUUUCGAUCACUAGCGACCCAAUGCUAAAAGUUAAAUUAAAUAAAAUUUUUAACUUACUAAAACAAAUCGAAUGAUAUCAACGUACAUGCGAAAAAAUAACUGUUACCAUGAAAUUACGUGGAUACGUCGCUCGAUUUAAAAAUUGCAGUUUCAAGAAAAAUGCAUUUAAGAUUUUAAUUUUUUUAUUACAUUACACCUCUUUGGAACAGAAAGGGAAUAUGUCUGAAAGCGAUUAUGCUCUCGACUUUGCCAUUGUUUUUGUAACUAAUUCAAUUGAAAAUAACAAUAGUGAGUAACAACCGUAGCUGCAAAAUAACAUUGCAUAUCUAAGUAUUGCAAUCAAAAUUAAUAAUGAAAAUAUAACAGCAGGUAAAAAAUGUAAAGCAUUGUUGUUGUUGUUCAGUAGUAAAUUUAUAUGCAUCUUAAACAUAUCUACUACAUGUAGAUUUGAUUAAUUAACAAGUGAUUCCGAUUACCUAAACGCAGGGAGUUCUAUUACAGUUAUACGCCUUCUACUAUUUUUACGAAUCAUUUGAAAUCUCAUUUAUAUAUGUGAAUAAACAUGGGUAUGUACAUAUGUAUAAUUAUAUAUUCAAAUUAUGUAAUAAAAUUGAAAUAUUGCUUAUCGUCACAAUGAAUGCCACAAAUUAAAAUAAAAAAUCGUAGCACUUACUAUUCGCAUAAAAUUGUAUACAAUGAACAACGAAAUACCUAACAAAAUUGCGACAGGCGGGAUGUGAUUUAAUUACAUACACUGAAUAUAAUGUAAAUAAGAUACAAUGCAGAAUAGGAAAUAUUGCAUUAAUUGAAUAUAUUUAUAAUGCAGCACACAAAAACACAAACUGAACGAAAGCAACGCGUUGAUGCAUUCAUAAACACACGAACGACAAGUUUUUAUAAAAAUUUUGAAAAACAAAAAACAACAAGCAUUUGGCACCUAAUGCUAUGCUAUGUUGAGUAUUUUUGCAUUGAAGUGCCGGAUAAUGCUACUAAUUGCAAUUAAAUAAUGCAAAAAUAUUGUAUGUAGUAGAGAAAUAAACAUUAAAGCUUGUGUGAUGAAUAUAGAAAAAUGAAUUGCGAUCGGAAAAUGCAUUACAAUAUAAAUAUGUAACUCCAGUUAAGCAUAGCAUAGUAAAUACUCACAAUUGCAAUUGAAAUAUUGAGGCUGGGAUGAAGCACAAAAGAACACCGCAAAUGGAAGUGUUAAGGGUGGGUGCAAAGUUUAUUUUAUUAACUGAAAUUGCACGUAUGUUUCUACAUUUAUGUGAAGUUUUUUUUAUUUCAUUGCCAUUGUAAUUAGUUAACAUAAAAUAAACUAACGAACAAUUUGUUUUGCUUAUUAUAUAGUACAAAUGAAUUAAUGAUGCUCUGCGUGUAAAUUGCAGAUAGUCUGGCUACUUUAUAAGGUGAUACGGUAUUUUGCGUUUAAGCCUUUCUUUUCCUUUACUUUAAGACUCAAGAUGGUGAGAAAGUCUUAACAUAUAGACGUGGCAUAUUUGUGAAUUGAUGCGGCAACUGAAUCAAUUCCGAAAAAUUCAAGACGCAUCUUAAAAUUUUGUUUUGAAAUCGCUGGAGUCCAAACUGGUCUGAGCACCUGCAUGUAAAGAAGAAUUUUGUUAGAUGUGGAUAGGGCAGAGUUUCUGCCCAAAAACCUAUUCAUUUAAUUUUAUUCGCCAUUUAGCUGUCCAUGCAAAUAUUUUGUUUAAAUGUUGUUGCAAUCUUGCAGUAGAUGCAGCUUGUGUUUUGCACAGACAAAAGAGCAGUAUCAUCUGCAAAUGUUGCUGUAAUACAAUGGUCAACGUGUGGUAAAAGUAGGUAAAUGAUGGGCAGCUUUUAUUUCCUUUAAAUCAAAGUAGAUAUCUCCGUGUUUAAUUCGAAAAAAAUAUUGUAAUAUGCUUUGGUAGAAGCAUCUGAUGGAAAUCAUUUUAUGGGGUAUAUGGGGGGCAGAGAAAGGCUCCAAAAUGCUACAAGUGAGUGCUAAUUGCUGAAAGUAUGAGCAGUAGAAAUGAACAUUCGUUGUUCAGCAACUUUCACUGGUGUAGUUGUCACUUGUCCCAGUAAUCCGCAUGUAAGGAAUUUUCCAGGACUUAUUAACAAUAAAUAUUUGCAUAUUGAUGUACUGUUAUGUAAUCGUUCGAUUGUGUCUACAAAAAAUUCUGUACCGUAACGAAUUGAUAUGGAAGAAAGCUAAGCAUAUAUUGUAUGGAAUCCAAAGAGGUAAAGAGUUGAACAUCGAUAACAGUAUGCGACACAAGUAUACCUACUAUUAUUAUUUAGUGAACUUACCUUAAAUGCUCUAAUUAAAUCGCUUUUAUUGCAAUCGUAACGCAGUUAUUUACUAGCUUUUGAAAUCACAUAUUCAUUUACGAAAAAACUGUUGCCAACAACGAUUGAGGCAACAAA